rnacentral:rRNA from 1 species
CUACGGGCGGCUGCAGUGGGGAAUAUUGCACAAUGGAGGAAACUCUGAUGCAGCAACGCCGCGUGGAGGAUGACACUUUUCGGAGCGUAAACUCCUUUUAUAUAGGAAGAAGAUGACGGUACUAUAUGAAUAAGCGCCGGCUAACUCCGUGCCAGCAGCCGCGGUAAUACGGAGGGCGCAAGCGUUACUCGGAAUCACUGGGCGUAAAGAGCGUGUAGGCGGAUUAAAAAGUCAGAAGUGAAAUCCUAUAGCUUAACUAUAGAACUGCUUCUGAAACUCUUAAUCUAGAAUAUGGGAGAGGUAGAUGGAAUUUCUGGUGUAGGGGUAAAAUCCGUAGAGAUCACUCGGAAUACUGAUUGCGAAGGCGAUCUACUAGAACAUUAUUGACGCUGAGACGCGAAAGCGUGGGGAGCAAACAGGAUUAGAUACCCUGGUAGUC